GUGGGGAAUCUUGCGCAAUGGGCGAAAGCCUGACGCAGCCAUGCCGCGUGAAUGAUGAAGGUCUUAGGAUUGUAAAAUUCUUUCACCGGGGACGAUAAUGACGGUACCUGGAGAAUAAGCUCCGGCUAACUCCGUGCCAGCAGCCGCGGUAAUACGGAGGGAGCUAGCGUUGUUCGGAAUUACUGGGCGUAAAGCGCGCGUAGGCGGACAGCUUAGUCAGAGGUGAAAGCCCAGGGCUCAACCUUGGAAUUGCCUUUGAUACUGGGUGUCUUGAGUUUGGGAGAGGUGAGUGGAACUCCGAGUGUAGAGGUUAAAUUCGUAGAUAUUCGGAAGAACACCAGUGGCGAAGGCGACUCACUGGCCCAAUACUGACGCUGAGGCGCGAAAGCGUGAGGAGCAAACAGGAUUAGAAACCCCUGUAGUCC
rnacentral:rRNA from 1 species